CAUUUUCUUGCCUCAGUUUCUUCUUCAAUUGUAACUCUUCAGCUCAAAAUUGGCCAUGAGGAGUGCUGCUAUCUCUGCAAUUCGCGCUUUCGCUUCAUCUUCUAGGAUUUCUGGCUCUCCAGCUAUCGCUAGACACUUGCAUGCCUCUGCGGGGAGCAAAAAGAUUGUGGGUGUUUUCUACAAGGCCAAUGAGUAUGCUGCAAUGAAUCCCAAUUUUUUGGGGUCUGCGGAGGGAGCUUUAGGCAUACGUGAGUGGUUGGAA
rnacentral:misc_RNA from 1 species